rnacentral:rRNA from 1 species
UCAAUGGGCGCAAGUCUGACCAGCCAUGCCGCGUGGAGGAUUAGGCCCUUGGGUUGUAAACUCCUUUUAUCUGGGAAGAAAUGCAUUUUUUCUAAAGUGCUUGACGGUACCAGAGGAAUAAGCACCGGCUAACUCCGUGCCAGCAGCCGCGGUAAUACGGAGGGUGCAAGCGUUAUCCGGAUUUACUGGGUUUAAAGGGUGCGUAGGCGGAUAGGUAAGUCAGUGGUGAAAUCUCCGAGCUUAACUCGGAAACUGCCGUUGAUACUAUUUAUCUUGAAUAUUGUGGAGGUAAGCGGAAUAUGUCAUGUAGCGGUGAAAUGCUUAGAUAUGACAUGGAACACCAAUUGCGAAGGCAGCUUACUACACAGUUAUUGACGCUGAGGCACGAAAGCGUGGGGAUCAAACAGGAUUAGAUACCCUGGUAGUCCACGCCCUAAACGAUGAUUACUCGACAUACGCGAUACACAGUGUGUGUCUAAGCGAAAGCAUUAAGUAAUCCACCUGGGAAGUACGAUCGCAAGAUUGAAACUC